rnacentral:rRNA from 1 species
AUAGCGGAGGAAAAGAAACUAACAAGGAUUCCCCUAGUAGCGGCGAGCGAAGCGGGAAGAGCUCAAAUUUAUAAUCUGGCACCUUCGGUGUCCGAGUUGUAAUCUCUAGAAAUGUUUUCCGCGUUGGACCGCACACAAGUCUGUUGGAAUACAGCGGCAUAGUGGUGAGACCCCCGUAUAUGGUGCGGACGCCCAGCGCUUUGUGAUACAUUUUCGAAGAGUCGAGUUGUUUGGGAAUGCAGCUCAAAUUGGGUGGUAAAUUCCAUCUAAAGCUAAAUAUUGGCGAGAGACCGAUAGCGAACAAGUACCGUGAGGGAAAGAUGAAAAGCACUUUGGAAAGAGAGUUAACAGUACGUGAAAUUGUUGGAAGGGAAACGCUUGAAGUCAGACUUGCUUGCCGAGCAAUCGGUUUGCAGGCCAGCAUCAGUUUUCCGGGAUGGAUAAUGGUAGAGAGAAGGUAGCAGUUUCGGCUGUGUUAUAGCUCUCUGCUGGAUACAUCUUGGGGGACUGAGGAACGCAGUGUGCCUUUGGCGGGGGUUUCGACCUCUCACACUAGGAUG